GUACACUCCUGCGGGAGGCAGCAGUGGGGAAUAUUGGACAAUGGGCGCAAGCCUGAUCCAGCCAUGCCGCGUGAGUGAUGAAGGCCCUAGGGUUGUAAAGCUCUUUCACCGGUGAAGAUAAUGACGGUAACCGGAGAAGAAGCCCCGGCUAACUUCGUGCCAGCAGCCGCGGUAAUACGAACGGGGCUAGCGUUGUUCGGAUUUACUGGGCGUAAAGCGCACGUAGGCGGACUAUUAAGUCAGGGGUGAAAUCCCGGGGCUCAACCCCGGAACUGCCUUUGAUACUGGUAGUCUUGAGUUCGAGAGAGGUGAGUGGAAUUCCGAGUGUAGAGGUGAAAUGCGUAGAUAUUCGGAGGAACACCAGUGGCGAAGGCGGCUCACUGGCUCGAUACUGACGCUGAGGUGCGAAAGCGUGGGGAGCGAACAGGAUUAGAAACCCCAGUAGUCCC
rnacentral:rRNA from 1 species